rnacentral:rRNA from 1 species
GCUUGACUGUAUCCUGGAAUUGGGUUCGGCUUUUCUUGCGCAGCCUAGGUGGGAGCAUUGAAGAUUUCUUUCCGGGAAGUUGGAGCCAUCAUUGAGAGACCACUCUGGAGAGGCUAGAAUCCUAAUGGUGAUCCUUGAAUCAGGACACUUGACAGUUUCAGGUGGCAGUUUGACUGGGCGGUCACCUCCUAAAAGGUAACGGAGGCGCGCAAAGGUUCCCUCAAGCUGGUUGGAAAUCAGACAACGAGUGUAAAGCAAAAGGAGCUUGACUGCAAGACCCACAAGUCGAGCAGGAGCGAAAGCUGGCCUUAGUGAUCCGACGGUGCCGUGUGGAAGGCCGUCGCUCAACGAAUAAAAGUUA